rnacentral:lncRNA from 1 species
UGUGGCUAGGGCUUAAGUCAGCCAUCUGUCUCUAGGUGUGGUCGUGAUUGGUAUCAGUUGGUUGCUCAAUAUGUCUCUGGAAUUUUGUUGUAUGCUGUUGUGAAACAUGUUGUGCAAAUGCCCUCCUUAUAUAUCAUUAGGUAAAACGUUAGAUUAUCUUUAUUACAAAUCCCCCUCUUCACGUCUGCAAGACGUGACAAAAAAGAACAAUCUGCGGCACAGCGGGAGUGAAAACAAACAAACGGAAGUCAGAGACAAAUUUUGUGAGUCCCCCUCUUCACGUCUCACCUCAGCAGAUAGCUUGUCAAGUCUCAAUAGGGAUUAAAAUCAUAUCAUUACCAUUACAAUCCACCCGUUUUGCUAGAUAUUUCACAUACAUUAUAACACAUCUAUUUUGAUUGGAUUCAGAAAUUUCACACAAAUUCAAACUAAUUCAUGCAUCCCAAUAGAUGGUCUCAUCUAACAUGUGCUCCUCAUAUUUGAAUGAAUCCUCCACCUUGCUCGGCGGUAGGUACUUGUCAUCUCAUUGAUCUGAACUUUGACUCGGUCCGUAGCUCACCAUCUGCUCCGUUAUCAUCUCUCUAGAGUUCUGGUGAUUAAACCUCUUGCACACGGGACCAAACAACAACCACACAACCCAAACACACUCAUACAGGUGAAAGCAGCCCAUAAUACAGUUCUUGCAACACUUUUCCAUUUCCCAAACAUGAGCUGUGUUAUCAAAAAUUUACGUACAGCAAUGAACUUAAUCAUUCUACCUACACCAUCCUCUUUGCCCGUAACCUAUCGAGAGUCAGUCUAUUUUACCAGGUCAUGAGGGAGGUGGCGGAUAAUUGGUCAGAGAACCUCUUUACUGCAUCCCCUGUUUCAUUCAUGAAUCUCUGUUGAUUAAAAUAUGUCAUUAAUUCAAUCCACAUUAUUAUUUAUUGUCAACUACCAACAUAAUGUAGUGUUAAAGCCUUCACAUAUUUGAUUCAUAACUUUGUAUUCAUCUGGAACCUCCCUGAGGAUGCCAAUAGCAUCCAUCUAGACAAAGCUAAUCC